rnacentral:tRNA from 1 species
GAGGAUGUAGCUCAGUGGUAGGGCGCAUGCUAAGCAUGCAUGAGGUCCUGGGUUCAAUCCCCAGUACCCCCA